GAUGAAGAACGUAGCGAAAUGCGAUAAGUGAUGUGAAUUGCAGAAUUCAGUGAAUCAUCGAAUCUUUGAACGCACAUUGCGCCCCUUGGUAUUCCGAGGGGCAUGCCUGUUCGAGCGUCAUAUUAACCACUCCCGCUUGCGGGGUCUUGGGCUUCGCCUCCGGGCGGGCCUUAAAAUCAGUGGCGGUGCCGUCGGGCUCUACGCGUAGUAAAUUUUCUCGCGAUAGGGUCCCGGUGGAUGCUUGCCAACAACCCCCAACUUCUUAAGGUUGACCUCGGAUCAGGUAGGGAUACCCGCUGAACUUAAGCAUAUCAAUAAGCGGAGGA
rnacentral:misc_RNA from 1 species